AGUGAACGCUGGCGGUAGGCCUAACACAUGCAAGUCGAACGGCAGCACAGUAAGAGCUUGCUCUUACGGGUGGCGAGUGGCGGACGGGUGAGGAAUACAUCGGAAUCUACUUUUUCGUGGGGGAUAACGUAGGGAAACUUACGCUAAUACCGCAUACGACCUACGUGUGAAAGCAGGGGAUCUUCGGACCUUGCGCGAUUGAAUGAGCCGAUGUCGGAUUAGCUAGUUGGCGGGGUAAAGGCCCACCAAGGCGACGAUCCGUAGCGGGUCUGAGAGGAUGAUCAGCCACACUGGAACUGGGACACGGUCCAGAGUCCUACGGGAGGCAGCAGUGGGGAAUAUUGGACAAUGGGCGCAAGCCUGAUCCAGCCAGACCGCGUGGGUGAAGAAGGCCUUCGGGUUGUAAAGCCCUUUUGUUGGGAAAGAAAAGCAGCAGGUUAAUACCCCGCUGUUCUGACGGUACCCAAAGAAUAAGCACCGGCUAACUUCGUG
rnacentral:rRNA from 1 species